rnacentral:rRNA from 1 species
UACGUAGGGGGCUAGCGUUGUCCGGAAUCAUUGGGCGUAAAGCGCGUGUAGGCGGCUCGGUAAGUCCGCUGUGAAAGUCGGGGGCUCAACCCUCGGAUGCCGGUGGAUACUGUCGGGCUAGAGUACGGAAGAGGCGAGUGGAAUUCCUGGUGUAGCGGUGAAAUGCGCAGAUAUCAGGAGGAACACCAAUUGCGAAGGCAGCUCGCUGGGACGUUACUGACGCUGAGACGCGAAAGCGUGGGGAGCGAACAGG